rnacentral:lncRNA from 1 species
AGCUCUUGGAGCAGACGAGGGAAAGGGAGGAAGGCUCUACCCUUAAAAUCCUCUCGAAGGUCAAGUUUGAGGCUUGCCGAAAGGAGGAGAAAAGUGUCGAAAAAUGCCGCUACAGGGUUUGCGGGAAGGUUCUGCACGGAGACUGGUUGGAAAUGCCUUUCUCCCCCUAAAUACCAGAUUAAUUUCUCUGAAACACACAAUGUAUUUGUCAUGCCCAAAGGAUGAUGAUAGAUGGUUUUUUAAGCCCAGAGUAAAGUGUGCAUUUGUCUUGUAUAUCAAGGCUACAAUGAAACCACGAAGAACUGGAGAGGAGAUCACCCAGCGUUGGCUGCUUAAUAGGAGCGGGGAGAGCGAGUGAGGAGUAGAGACGGGGGGCGGGGCGAGUGGUGGCCCAAGACCUGCUCCAGGUGGGCUGUUCCCUGUCGGCUCCUGGAACAGGACGGGUAAGCCGACUAAGAGCGCAAACGGGGACCCAUGAAAAGAAAAGAAAAAACAAGAUCCGGGAAUAGUUUGUUACUGUUAUUUACAUCCAGACUCUGGUUUUCCGGCCCUUUACAGCUGCUGGUGAAGAGUAUUCAAGCUUUGAAUACUGCUCUGAACUGACCUUGAGGCACAUUGAGAGGAAAAAUCACUGGAGAAAAUCGCGGUUUGUGUAGUGCUUUGAGAUCCUCUAACGCGAAAGCAAGAGAAUUGUGAAGUGACCUUGUUUCAUAGAUCUCUCUACGUCCACAUUGGAAUACUAAGGGA